rnacentral:rRNA from 1 species
UACGAAGGGGGGCUAGCGUUGCUCGGAAUCACUGGGCGUAAAGGGUGCGUAGGCGGGUCUUUAAGUCAGGGGUGAAAUCCUGGAGCUCAACUCCAGAACUGCCUUUGAUACUGAGGAUCUUGAGUUCGGGAGAGGUGAGUGGAGCUGCGAGUGUAGAGGUGAAAUUCGUAGAUAUUCGCAAGAACACCAGUGGCGAAGGCGGCUCACUGGCCCGAUACUGACGCUGAGGCACGAAAGCGUGGGGAGCAAACAGG